rnacentral:rRNA from 1 species
GCUUGUCUCAAAGAUUAAGCCAUGCAUGUCUAAGUGUAAAUAAGUCUAUACUGUGAAACUGCGAAUGGCUCAUUAAAUCAGUUAUCGUUUAUUUGAUGAUCUCUUACUACUUGGAUAACCGUAGUAAUUCUAGAGCUAAUACAUGCACAAAAUCCCGACUUACGAAGGGAUGUAUUUAUUAGAUACAAACCAACAUCGUGGUGAUUCAUAAUAACUUAGCGGAUCGCAGAGGCCUCGCGCCGGCGACAAAUCAUUCAAGUUUCUGCCCUAUCAGCUUUCGAUGGUAGUGUAUUGGACUACCAUGGCAUUCACGGGUAACGGAGGAUUAGGGUUCGAUUCCGGAGAGGGAGCCUGAGAAAUGGCUACCACAUCCAAGGAAGGCAGCAGG